UGGAGUGCUAGCAUCUGGAGCGUCGAGCUUCUGGUCGAAGCGGGUCAGUCUGCUUGCAGCGAAGGCAAACUUAGACCGUGUGAAAAUGGCUGCCGAUUGGUCCAUAGUGCUCGGAACCGUAAGAGGGACUGCCGAGGGGAGCAACAAGACAUCGAAAGCAUAUUCUCAACCCAUAAAAUACGAACUGUAUAAACGUAACAAUAUUAUGGAAAUUGUAAAAUGUGGCCGGAAUGUGCAGAUAUAAAUACUACGAUCAAUAAAUGUUUAACCAAGAGCGAAAAUUGUGGACGAACAAUAAUAUUGAGGCACGAGGUACCAAUGUAUAGAGUCGGUUGCAAACGGCAGUUCAAAAAAAUAUACCCUCGAAAUGCGAGGUAGCGCGUUGCUUAACGUUCCAUUAAGUUCAAGUGCGGCAUCGAAAACUAUCCCAACAAAUACAAAGCAAGCAACCAGUGGAGAAGCGAAAAAACGAAAAGAAUGCACUGCAUGUAUGUAUGUAUGGCUGUAAGUGCUAUUUACCGAGGCUUCGGUUAACGAACCACCCUUUUGACGAGAUUCAAACAACGGGUAAAACGGUAUAUAACCAUUUUAUAGUGAUAUAUGUAUGUGUAUCAAUAACUAUGAAGGCAUGAGUGAAUAUAUAUAUGUAUGCAUAUGUUCAAGUAUAUGCUAAUUGAAAAUGUAUACGUAGCCAUAAACAUAUGUACAUAAAUAUGUGCGGGGGAUUCAAGUUCAAGAUUAUUAAGAAAUAGGUAAUGGAUCACUUGGGUGUAACGUGUAGGUAGCGCGCCGGUUAAAACGGCGGUGGGAGCGUAACUAACUUAUCUUAAGCGUUACGCUGCGGUGAACGCCUUGUGGAUUGUGGAUCUUCCGACCGCACCGCCAAACUCGCGACAUCGAGUUGGGACCGGACCGCACGGAGUUGGCACAGUGCGCGGCAAUUAUCUACUGAUGCCCUGAACAAAAAAUAUUCCGAAAAUAUCGACGUUCUGCCAUUUUUAGCUCAGUCACUGAUCUUAAACUCAUCGAAAUCUUAUGGCCGAAGGUCAAAGGAAUUCUACCAACUGCAAAUCCGUCAACAUGAACUAAGUUUUGGCAAGUGGCUUAAGAAUUAUUCAAAUUAUUGGCUCAAAUCCUAUUGAAACGUUGGCAGGAUCUUACUGACCCAUGCCAGGCUGGGGUUAAGCAGCUCAUACAGAACAUAUAAAAUAGGUUUUAAUUUGAGUUUAUUUUUUUGAUUUUGUUCGAAAGCAACACUAUUUCAAUGAACAGCAGAUAUCUUGGGUAAUUGUGUAAAGCCAUGAAAAAUAGAAGAUGAAUGUAAAUGUA